GUGCUCGCCUUGGCAGCACAUAUACUAACAUUGGGACAAUACAGAGAUCAGCAUGGCCCCUGCACGAGGAUGUCACGCAAAUUUGUGAAGUGUUCCAUAUUAGA